AGAGUUUGAUCCUGGCUCAGAACGAACACUGGCGGCAUGGAUUAGGCAUGCAAGUCGAACGAGAAAGCUCUCUUCGGAGAGUGAGUACAGUGGCGAACGGGUGAGUAACAGGUGGAAAACCUGCCCUAUAAUGGGGGAUAACAGUUCUAACGAACUGCUAAUACCGCAUACGACCUUUGGAUCGCAUGUUCCGAAGGUGAAAGGUGGCCUCUCUUUGAAGCUGCCGUUAUAGGAUGGUUCCGCCUCCCAUUAGCUUGUUGGUGGGGUAAUGGCCUACCAAGGCGACGAUGGGUAGCCGGCCUGAGAGGGUGUCCGGCCACACUGGGACUGAGAUACGGCCCAGACUCCUACGGGAGGCAGCAGUCGAGAAGCUUCGGCAAUGGGCGAAAGCCUGACCGAGCGAUGCCGCGUGAGUGAAGAAGGCCCUAUGGGUUGUAAAGCUCUGUCAGAUUGGGAAGAAAACUCUGCGGUUAAUACCCGUAGAGCUUGACGGUACCAUCAGAGGAAGCACCGGCUAACUCCGUGCCAGCAGCCGCGGUAAUACGGAGGGUGCAAGCGUUGUUCGGAUUCACUGGGUAUAAAGGGUGCGCAGGCGGCCCGAUAAGUCAGGGGUGAAAUAUGACGGCUCAACCGUCAAACUGCCCCUGAAACUGUCAGGCUUGAGUUCGAGAGAGGUAGGUGGAAUUCCAGGUGUAGCGGUGAAAUGCGUAAAUAUCUGGAGGAACACCGGUGGCGAAGGCGGCCUACUGGCUCGAUACUGACGCUC
rnacentral:rRNA from 1 species